GUGUCGUUGUGAAAGGAGGUUAUCACUCCCCUUGACAAGGAUGAGAGGCCCUCGGGCCUGACAACAUACAUGGGGUCAAGGCAUUGAAACCUACUUCAUGGCAUCUAACCAUUGUUUUUU